rnacentral:rRNA from 1 species
CACGUAGGAGGCGAGCGUUGUCCGGAAUCAUUGGGCGUAAAGAGCGCGCAGGCGGCUUGUCAAGUCGGGUGUGAAAUCCCGGGGCUCAACCCCGUGACUGCAUUCGAUACUGUCAGGCUAGAGGUAGGUAGGGGAGAUCGGAAUUCCUGGUGUAGCGGUGAAAUGCGCAGAUAUCAGGAGGAACACCGGUGGCGAAGGCGGAUCUCUGGGCCUUACCUGACGCUCAGGCGCGAAAGCUAGGGGAGCGAACAGG